AAGGAAUAUUGGUCAAUGGAGGAAACUCUGAACCAGCCAUCCCGCGUGCAGGACGAAGGCCCUCUGGGUUGUAAACUGCUUUUACCAGGAAAGAAACGAGUGGGCUUGCCCGCUCCUGACGGUACCUGGGGAAUAAGCACCGGCUAACUCCGUGCCAGCAGCCGCGGUAAUACGGAGGGUGCAAGCGUUAUCCGGAAUCACUGGGUUUAAAGGGUGCGUAGGCGGCUUGAUAAGUCAGGGGUGAAAGCUUCCCGCUCAACGGGAGAACUGCCCUUGAUACUGUCAGGCUCGAAUUGGGUUGAGGCAGGCGGAAUGUGGCAUGUAGCGGUGAAAUGCUUAGAUAUGCCAUAGAACACCGAUUGCGAAGGCAGCCUGCCAAGCCUUGAUUGACGCUGAGGCACGAAAGCGUGGGGAGCGAAC
rnacentral:rRNA from 1 species